rnacentral:rRNA from 1 species
AACGAACGCUGGCGGCAUGCCUAACACAUGCAAGUCGAACGAGACCUUCGGGUCUAGUGGCGCACGGGUGCGUAACGCGUGGGAACCUGCCCUUAGGUUCGGAAUAACUCUCCGAAAGGGGUACUAAUACCGGAUAAGGUCUUCGGACGAAAGAUUUAUCGCCUUUGGAUGGGCCCGCGUUGGAUUAGGUAGUUGGUAGGGUAAUAGCCUACCAAGGCGACGAUCCAUAGCUGGUCUGAGAGGAUGAUCAGCCACACUGGGACUGAGACGCGGCCCAGACUCCUACGGGAGGCAGCAGUGGGGAAUAUUGGACAAUGGGGGAAAGCCUGAUCCAGCAAUGCCGCGUGAGCGAUGAAGGCCUUAGGGUUGUAAAGCUCUUUUAGCUGGGAAGAUAAUGACGGUACCGGGAGAAUAAGCCCCGGCUAACUCCGUG